rnacentral:rRNA from 1 species
CUGCGUACCUUUUGUAUAAUGGGUCAGCGACUUAUAUUCAGUGGCAAGGUUAACCAUCUAGGGGAGCCGUAGGGAAACCGAGUCUUAACUGGGCGUUCAGUCUCUGGAUAUAGACCCGAAACCAGGUGAUCUAGCCAUGGGCAGGUUGAAGGUUGAGUAACAUCAACUGGAGGACCGAACCGACUAAUGUUGAAAAAUUAGCGGAUGACUUGUGGCUAGGGGUGAAAGGCCAAUCAAACCUGGAGAUAGCUGGUUCUCCCCGAAAGCUAUUUAGGUAGCGCCUCGGACGAAUACUACUGGGGGUAGAGCACUGUUAAGGCUAGGGGGUCAUCCCGACUUACCAACCCUUUGCAAACUCCGAAUACCAGUAAGUACUAUCCGGGAGACACACGGCGGGUGCUAACGUCCGU